AUUGCAGGCUGCAACCCGCCUGCAUGAAGUCGGAAUUGCUAGUAAUCGUAGGUCAGCAUACUACGGUGAAUACGUUCCCGGGCCUUGUACACACCGCCCGUCAAACCAUGAGAGUUGGCAACACCCGAAGUCGGUAGUCUAACCGCAAGGAGGACGCCGCCGAAGGUGGGGUUGAUGAUUAGGGUUAAGUCGUAACAAGGUAAC
rnacentral:rRNA from 1 species